GCUUUGCGGCUGGAUCCCCUCCUUUCUAAGGAAGAGCCCUCAGGGCCCCGGCGUCCGCGCCGGAUCGCCCUAUCGGCUCCUCUUCAGAACAAAAUGACAGUGCGGACCGGCGCCGUCUUCGUUUCUCUUUCCUUGCGCGUCAUCAACCUGACGAGAUCGGGCCUGUAGCUCAGCUGGUUAGAGCGCACGCCUGAUAAGCGUGAGGUCGGUAGUUCAAGUCUACCCAGGCCCACCAUCAGGUGUCGGGUGCCAGGGAGCAGGUGUCACUUCGCAACAAGAUGCCUGACACUGCAUCGCUGACACCUUGAAAGGGGCCGUAGCUCAGCUGGGAGAGCACCUGCUUUGCAAGCAGGGGGUCGUCGGUUCGAUCCCGUCCGGCUCCACCAUAUCCGCCCGGCCAUGCUACCGGUCGGCCAAUGGCGCGCAUGAGAUCUGGUUUGCCGCCUCCGCCCCGCUGGGGCUUGGUGGCGAAGCGCUGUUUGACAUUGUGAAGAGGAAGAGUGUGUUCGUGACACUGGAUGCGCAGCCCUGAUGGGCUGCGUGCCGGUAUCGCGAACAUUCUCCGAGAUGAUCGCUGGUAAAUGCCAUUGCCGCUGUCGAUCUUGCGUUCCGCCUCGUGCGGGCCGCGGGGCGGGCAUCGGUAAUGGGAACGAUCAAGUGCCUUAAGAGCAUUCGGUGGAUGCCUUGGCGCACACAGGCGAUGAAGGACGUGGUACGCUGCGAUAAGCCACGGGGAGCUGCGAGCAAGCUUUGAUCCGUGGAUUUCCGAAUGGGGAAACCCGGAAGC
rnacentral:misc_RNA from 1 species